CAAUAGCGUAUAUUAAAGUUGUUGCAGUUAAAAAGCUCGUAGUUGGAUUUCUGGUGGGAGCGAUCGGUCUGGCGCUUAGCGCGAGUACUUGCAUCGUCUCCGGCCAUCCUUGGGGAGAGUCUGUCUGGCAUUAGGUUGUCGGGCAGAGGAUCCUCAUCGUUUACUGUGAAAAAAUUAGAGUGUUCAAAGCAGGCUUAUGCCGUUGAAUAUAUUAGCAUGGAAUAAUAAGAUAGGACUUUGGUACUAUUUUGUUGGUCUGCGCACCAAAGUAAUGAUUAAUAGGGACAGUUGGGGGUAUUCGUAUUCCGUUGUCAGAGGUGAAAUUCUUGGAUUUACGGAAGACGAACUACUGCGAAAGCAUUUACCAAGGAUGUUUUCAUUAA
rnacentral:rRNA from 1 species